AAUGAACGCUGGCGGCGUGCUUAACACAUGCAAGUCGAGCGAGGCCUGGGGGGCAACUCCCAGAGUCGAGCGGCGGACGGGUGAGUAACACGUGGGUAACCUGCCCGGAAGUGGGGAAUACCUCGGGGAAACUCGAGCUAAUACCGCAUGACAUCUCCGGGACGAAAGUCCUGGCGAUCAAAGCGGGGGUCGCAAGAUCUCGCGCUACCGGAUGGGCCCGCGCCCGAUUAGCUAGUUGGGAGGUAACGGCUCACCAAGGCUUCGAUCGGUAACCGGCCUGAGAGGGCGAUCGGUCACACCGGAACUGAGACACGGUCCGGACUCCUACGGGAGGCAGCAGUGGGGGAAUCUUGCGCAAUGGGCGAAAGCCUGACGCAGCAACGCCGCGUGGAGGAUGAAGGCCCUUGGGUUGU
rnacentral:rRNA from 1 species